AAGACGGAUUGUUUUGUAUAUCUAUGGAUGGGCAACGUGUCUGUUCCCGACUUGUUGACUUUGCUUAAGCUGUUCCCUCCACUUGGAACGUCUUCCUUGCCCUUGUUUCCAUGAAUGGAAAGCUGUUCUCCAAGGCUCUGCUCAAAUACUACCUCUCCGAGGAAGCGCUCCCUGAUCGCCUAGCCGGAAGUCAUCCCUCCCGCAUCUGAACUCGCAGCGCGUGUUAGUAAAGGACGUUCGUGUCACUUAUCACUUCUCACCCAGUAGUAUAUAUUGCCGGCCUGGUGGCCCUGGGUAAACUAUGAGCCCCCGAAGGAAAGGUCUCCGUUGUAUUUGCCCUUGUAGCCCUUGCAGCUGCCGCGCGAAGCAGGUAUGUGAGAGACAGGAGGAUGGAGUUGUUAGUAAACUUGGUUGUCUGACCGCUCUUGGUUCCAAUCCUGACGUAGUCAGUGGCCUUGGGCGUUUCUAAGCCUCAGUGUCUUUGCCUACAAAGAGGAGGUAGUAAUACUUAUUCAGAGGUUGUUGCCAGGGAUAAAAGACACAACAUGCCAGGAGUUUAGUGCAGGGCCCCACACAUCUUAAGUGCUCGGUACACCUCAACUACCACUAUUCUGCAUCAGAGAUCAAGCAGUGUUUGUUGACUGCGUUGGUGAUGGCGUGGCUGGAUUGCUGCACACACUGGGUGGCUUCUUACGAUCUUGAGAGCAGUAUCUGUGACCCAGCCAUGGAGGCCUUCUUUUCUGCAUAUUCAAACCGGGAACUUGGAUCUAGGCCCUUACCCUCGGAGGCGGCUUUCUAAUUUCUCCAACCCAUACGCCUUCUGGCGCCCUCGUGUGGCCCUGGUUGUUUUCUGGGCGAAUCUGUGGGGUCCCCUGAAGGUCUGGAAAACUCCGCGCCGGUGGGGAUCAUCUUCUGCACAAUAGGCGCUCGCCAGCCACCAUGCCUCUCCCAGUGAGGAGCAGCGGGAGCUACUGUGAGGCCCACAGAAAGACCUGGCUCAGCACUGGCCUUGGAAAAAACAGAGACCGGUUCCAGCCCAACCGAGGCGCCCCAUAUCCGGCCCUGGCCGCCCCAAGCAUUUUUUUUUUUUUUCUCCGCCAAGAUGGUGGGAGACCGGUCUCAGCUGGAAGGGGCGGGUGGAAGGUGCAGGGACUGUGGACAACGCCCCCGGGCGCGGCACACACGGCUAGAGUUGGGGCGAGCCGUGGAGAGCUGUCCUGCGGGUCCCGCUGCGUUGGGAGUUGUGGGUGCCCAAGGCCAAGAAGAGAAAGGCGGGAGGGGAGAGAGGCGGGGCUGUUCGGCAGCCAGCGGAAAUGGUGCGGGGAGUCAGCCCCUGGGGCCGCCCGGAGAGCUGGGAUGCGGCGCGGGCCACGUGCACCCGGGAGUACUUAGGGUGGCGGCGGCCCGCGGGUCGUGGGGGAGACCCUCUGUGGGAAGAGCCUUGCCGGUGCCUCUCUUCUCAGAAUUGAGACUAUUGACGUCCCAGGCGGGGCCGGCUUCUCCAAACCAGGCCAGGGGCUGCAGGGAGAAGAAUGCACCUGGUAUUGCUGCGGAUCGCAACCGCUCGGGCGCAAAGAUCAAGAGAGAGAGGUGGGGCUGACACGUCAAAGACAUUAUGAGGAAGAAGAUGAAACUCAAAGUACAUCUCAUGAAUCUAGCACUUGGUGGAACAUCCUUUAGGAACCACAGACUGAUGCUGUAAGUGGAAAAUAGUUUUCACACAAAGGGCAGAGAAUGGGAGAUGGGACAAGAAAGAGGGGAUGGGGGAAGAGACAAUGAAGAAAACGAGGAAGCAGGAGAAUGGAAGGAAAAUGAGAAAAAAGGGACAGAACAGAAACACAAAGGGGAAAGGAAAGGAGAACAGGAUGUAGAGAGAGAAGGGGAAAAUUUAAGAGAAUGAGGAAAAGAAAGAGUGGAACAGGAAGUACCAGUAGAGAGGCCCCCUAGGACUAGAACCACAUCCCCACUGCUUUUAGGAGAGACCCAGGGGCCUGUAAUCUCCUCCAUGCUCAACUCCUGUUCAGGCCACCCUAGCCCCCAGCGUGUCAUUCUCUAUGGAGGGUUCUCUCUGGCAUUGUUACCCAUCUUGCAGCCCCUUGUUCAAUGGUUGGUACUUAAAAUGCAAGAAUUCAUUAGCAAGGGAAACUCAGAAUAUAGAAAUAAAUGGUGGCUCCUAAAAAAACCUAGAAAAAAAAUAAUACAUAGAAUAAGAAAAUCCAAAAAUUACUACUUCUCUUAUUGAUGUCGUGUAGCUUCUUGUAGCACAAUAGGAUGUGACCAAAACUAAACAAACAUUCUCUACUCAGCCAGGAAGUCUAGUUGCCUAAAGAAACUGACAGCUUUUAAAUGCCAGCUGAGCCUUUCACCCAAGAGAGCCUGCUUUCAAACAAACUGAAAGUACCAAAGUGGUAAAAUAAAUUCCUAAAAGCUUAAGUGCAGUGCAUGUACACAGUGCUGAAUCCUUUAGAAUUCCCCAACAAAAAGAUAUUUACUUAUUUAAUGAAAGCUAUUUGCUAUUAAAAAAAAAAUCUCACGUAACACAUGCUAAGAUAGAAGUAGGCAUUUUGAAAUAAAUUCAUAGAGUCAUCCAAAUUGAAAGCCUCUAGAGUUCUCAGUAAAUUUAACAUCAGAUUUCAUUAGAACAGUGAUUCCCAACCUCUUAAUCACUGUGACUUUUUUUUUUUUUUUUUUUUUUUUUUUUUUUUUUAGGAUUGUUCUUUGAAGCCACUCAUUUAUCUUAGGUCUUUGCUCUAUUCAGUUCCACAGUUAUUCAUGAGUUCCAUGCUGGACUGUCUGGUUGGCCAAUGAUACUCCAAAAAUUUCUGUAAUUUCAAAAAUGUAAGUUACAGUGACUAGUGUGAUACACCUAGGGUCAGUGAAUACAGUUGAUACUAUUCUAUCCAAAAGAAAAGAAACUUGACAUUUAGUUAACCUAGUCAACCCCAUCAGAGGCAAGGAGUUGGCCCUUCAUACUAUUAAAAAUAAGACAUAAGCCAUUAUUACUGAUUUUAUAAAUACCCCACCAAUCUAAGACCCCAAGGGUGAAAAUCCUUGCAUUUGAGAUUUUUCUGGAAACCUUCCAGCUUUCAAUAUUUGGUGCAUACUUAAGAGUUGACUCAUCUUAGUCCUUUAAACCAGGGGUGGCCAGUGACAGCACAUGUGUUCCUGUUCUCACUUUCUGUGCCUGUCGCAGGCGUCUCUAAUCCAUCUCUACAAACUUUCCCAUUGAAUGACUUUUUUGUUGUUGUUGUUGUUGUUGUUGUUGUUACUUCUUAAUACAGUGUUUCAAGCAACCAGUGAAUCAGAGCUGGUGCUGAAGAUGAAACCAGCUUGUCUUUCCUGCUCUCCCCCAUGUCUUAGGUGAUUUGUUCAUAAGUGCAGGGGAUACAGGCUCAGAAUUCCUCUGAACAGGGAUACUUGAGAUUCCAUAAUAAGGGUGGAAGAUGUAGAAAUGGGGGGAACUAAGGCAUGCCAAGUCACAGAGAAUAAGAUGACUUUUAUCCCCAUUGGCAGCUGAUUAUAAAUAGCGCUUUAUCAUUCUUUUUGCUUUCUGUACUCCUCUUCCUGCACUCUUCCAGGUGCAAGGAUUGAAUAAACAGGUAUGGAAAUAAACAGGAAAGGUUAAUUCAGGAAUGGGUUAGUCUAGGCUGGGGAAACUUCCAAAAUGGUCUUGGAAUAAUACUGGUACCACCCUGCAGGGCCAUGGCAAUCAGAGUUUCCUGGUCUCCCAAGUCCUUUCUCUCACAUUAAUUCCUUGGAGCUUGCCAGCCCUGUGAGAAAUGCAGAAAAGAUGUCAUGUUCUCUUUUUAUUCAUGAGGCAAGAGAAGAUUAAAGAAGGUGAGUGGUUUUGCAAAGUCACAUGGCUAGGAAAGGAUGGAAUUGGAAAAAGAACUCAGAUUUGAACAUUUCGAGGUCAACGCUCUUUCUGAUGCAUUUGUGUUACUCACAUUGGGGUAUAAUGGGCCAGGAUAGGCAGGGUAGGGCCAGGCGAUUAUUUCAAAGAUUUGGGAUGAAAUGGCACUUCUCAAGAUUUUCUCACAUCUUGAUAUAAAAAGUGUAAAGGCACAUUAUGAAGUAGAACACAGAAUUUUCAAACUUUUUAUGAUAAAAAUACAAGAUUUUGAAGCUAUUGGCUCUAUGUGGACCCAUUGUGGCCCUUUCCCAGACUUCUGAUGAUGCUUUCACUGUUCCCUUCUGGUGGUAACAAGGGAAAUGGAUUAUCCUUCACCACACUACCUCUCACCUCUUCUUCCCUCCUCCUUCUUGUUCUUCUUUGUCAUUUUUAUUUACGUAAGUGAUGUUGCCAUUCUCAGAGACCCCCAAAGGUAGCUUGCUUGUAAUUCAUCUCAGAGGCCUGGGGCUGCCAUGGUCAGGCUCUGGUGAGGCUCUAUCCCUGGAUUACAGACAGCUGCCUUCCUGCUAUGUCCUUACAGGGCAGAGAGAGAGAGAAAGGCUCUCUGCUGUAUCUUCUUAUAAGCACACUAAUUUCAUCAUGGAGGCUCUGCUCUCAUGGCCUUGUCUGAACCUAAUUUCCUCCCAAAGACCUCAUCUUCAAAUACCAUCACAUUGGGGUUAGGGAUUCAAUAAAUGAACUUGGAGGGAACACAAUUCAGUCUAUAGUGAUCAGUUAGGAUGAUUUCAAUUGUAAAUAAUAGAAGACCCAACUCAAGAGGCUUAAACAAUAAAAGGCAUUUGUUGGCCCAGAUAAUUGGAGGGAAAUUAGGGUGAGCCCCAGGAUUAGGUGAUACAGAUCCAGAAUUAGGUGAACCAUAUCAUCAAGGACUUUGAUGUCCAUAGCGUUGCCUUCAUACUAACACUGUUUAUUCUCUCAAUGUGGGAUGUCUGAAACUUUGGGCUUCCUGGUUCACCUCUGUGAACAUGUCUCAUUAACCAGAAUUAUGGUAUGGACUGAUUCCCAAACCAGUCACUGUGGCCAGUGUGAUGGACUUUACUGAUUCACUUAAACCAAAGUUCACUCCAAGAGCUGAAGGAAGAUUCUGAA